AUGCACGCUGGCGGCGUGCCUAAUACAUGCAAGUCGAGCGAACAGACGAGGAGCUUGCUCCUUCGACGUUAGCGGCGGACGGGUGAGUAACACGUAGGUAACCUACCUAUAAGACUGGGAUAACUUCGGGAAACCGGAGCUAAUACCGGAUAAUAUUUCGAACCGCAUGGUUCGAUAGUGAAAGAUGGCUUUGCUAUCACUUAUAGAUGGACCUGCGCCGUAUUAGCUAGUUGGUAAGGUAACGGCUUACCAAGGCAACGAUACGUAGCCGACCUGAGAGGGUGAUCGGCCACACUGGAACUGAGACACGGUCCAGACUCCUACGGGAGGCAGCAGUAGGGAAUCUUCCGCAAUGGGCGAAAGCCUGACGGAGCAACGCCGCGUGAGUGAUGAAGGUCUUCGGAUCGUAAAACUCUGUUAUUAGGGAAGUACAAACGUGUAAGUAACUGUGCACGUCUUGACGGUACCUAAUCAGAAAGCCACGGCUAACUACGUG
rnacentral:rRNA from 1 species